rnacentral:lncRNA from 1 species
GUGCUAAGAAAUUGAAGUAUAUUUCAGGUUCCCUUAUGUAGUAAAUUGUUUCUGUUCAAAGUGUUGAUUAAAUUUUAAAAAUUUGGGAUCGUAUAAUGGUAUGAUAUCACCGCCGUAUGCGUCGUCAUCCAAAGACAUAUUUAGUUUCCAGAAAAUUACUUUAGUUUAAAAAUCCAAAUUCAGACAGUAUUAAGCUUGAAAAUUGUGUCCAAAUUUGCCCCAACUGUUCAGUGUUCAACCUCUGCGGUUGUAUCAGGCUGCACUCAGCGAAUCAUUUUAUUAAUAAAUAGAUCAAUAAUCUAAUUUCCUUAUGUUUAAGGGGGCUCACGGGUCUAAAUCAACUUUAUUUUCUAAUAUAGAAUUUUGCUAUUUUUUUCUAUGAUUAAACUUUACCUUAUACCUAAUAGAAAUAUAAAAUAAAAAUAUGGGGUCACCGUUCAUUUAAGCUCACAAUCUGCCUCCGAAAGAAGCAUACAUUUUUGUAAUGUCCUUUUUUUGUGUUGAACUAAUAGGAGAAAUAUUGAUAAUAUCGAAAUAAAAAAAGAACUUUACAGAAAUCGCUUAAAUUUUACAAUUAUUUAGUUUAUGUACAGCCUGUUUCAAAACAAUAAUAAAAAGUAUAGGUCACCAAUGAGUUAAAAAAGAUAUUUUAAUUUAAAUGUCAAAAAAUUACAUUUUUGCACCAAAGGGAGAUAAUUUGGAGCUUUUUCAAUGAUAUAACAUUUUUAAAGUCAUCUGUGGCCAAACCAAAUUGAUUUGUCCGGGUG